UAAAGCGUGCGUAGGCGGUACGGAGCGUCGCCACUGAAAGCACCCGGCUCAACCGGGUGAGGUGUGGCGAUACGACCGAACUGGAGGCAAGGAGAGGUGUGCAGAAUUCCGGGUGUAGUGGUGAAAUGCGUAGAUAUCCGGAGGAAUGUCGGUGGCGAAGGCGGCACACUGGUCUUGACCUGACGCUGAGGCACGAAGGCGUGGGGAGCAAACCGGAUUAGAUACCCGGGUAGUCCACGCAGUAAACGAUGUCGGCUCGGUGUAUCGUGGUGGCAACACCAUGGUGUGCCCAAGCUCACGCGGUAAGCCGACCGCCUGGGGACUACGAGCGCAAGCUUAAAACUCAAAGGAAUUGACGGGGGCCCGCACAAGCAGCGGAGCGUGUGGUUUAAUUCGACGCAACGCGAAGAACCUUACCCAGGUUUGACAUGCAGCUGCAAGCGCACGGAAACGUGUGACCUUCGAGGGUGCUGCACAGGUGCUGCAUGGCUGUCGUCAGCUCGUGUCGUGAGAUGUUGGGUUAAGUCCCGCAACGAGCGCAACCCUUGCCGUCAGUUACAAGUGUCUGGCGGGACAGCCCUCGCUAUGGGGGAGGAAGGCGGGGAUGACGUCAAGUCAGCAUGGCCCUUACGCCUGGGGCGACACACACGCUACAAUGCCGACCACAAUGCGCUGCAACCACGCAAGUGCAAGCUAAUCGCCAAAGGUCGGCUCAGUGCAGAUCGGGGGCUGCAACUCGCCCCCGUGAAGGCGGAGUUGCUAGUAACCGCGUAUCAGCCAUGGCGCGGUGAAUACGUACCCGGGCCUUGUACACACCGCCCGUCACGUCAUGGGAGUUGGUAAUGCCUGAAGUCCGUGGGGUAACCUACGGGAGCCAGCGGCCGAGG
rnacentral:rRNA from 1 species